rnacentral:rRNA from 1 species
UUUAUGGAGAGUUUGAUCCUGGCUCAGGAUGAACGCUGGCGGCUUGCCUAAUACAUGCAAGUCGAGCGAACGGACGAGAAGCUUGCUUCUCUGAUGUUAGCGGCGGACGGGUGAGUAACACGUGGAUAACCUACCUAUAAGACUGGGAUAACUUCGGGAAACCG